rnacentral:lncRNA from 1 species
AUGGGAAAGGAAGGCAACAUCAGCAGACAGAGGAUGACCCUUCUUCAGCACAGACUUGAAGCAGAGCAGUGCCUGCACCUCCCCAGGGCCAGGAGGAGCUCCCCAUGGCCAGCAGUGGGACAGAUCACUGCUGGAUUCCACAUUCCACAGCCACAGGAGUCAAAGUUUUGUUCGCCACCCCUUCAUCCCCCGCCCUGCUCUGGACGUUUCCAUUUGAAAUCAGGAUCUGUCACUCCCCCAAACCAGAUGAAAACAGGAGGCAGAAAGGCAAGAAUGUGCCAUAAAGUAUCUCUGGCAUUCCCAGAAGAAAAGCACUUGAUUUCUUGGAAGAUGAUGGUUUCACUUCAAUCAUGCUCCAAAUCAAGACUUAUCCAUCUCCAUCUUUAGCCAGGCAAAUUUGAUUUCUGAUCAUCUUGUUUCUUACCUGUUGUUUGCCAGAUUGGAAAGUCUUCUGCAGGUAUUAUGGGAUGGAGAACACUGAUUUUUAUUUUUUUUUAAAUCUAUUUCUAAAUUAUUUGUGCUGAUGCAAUCAGUCACACCUUUCAAUAAAUUACUAAUUGUGGGCGAAUCCUCGUUCUCA